ensembl:lncRNA
AGGGUUCCGGGCCUCGCCCGGCCCUAUCGAAGCUGCGCCUGCCGUGCGCUGUGGCAGCCGCAGUCAAAAAGGAGCCCAGAGCCACGCGUUUUCCUCGACGGUCGCUGCGCGGUUUGGUCUUCUGUAACCGCCCAGCAACAAAUGGGGAAACUACAGGGGCCGGGUCAGCGGCGCAGGGACUCCACCGCAGUGCUCUCAGGCAUUGGUGGCACCGAACCUGUGCUUCUGGGCCCGCGUUUGGAGGGGUGGUGGCGGGUGGGGCGCAGCACAGCGUUACCGUGCCUUUAAAUGCUUUUCUGUCUAAGGAGCGCUGUGGAGAUGCUGCUUGCAGUGCCACCCGGUGCAGGAGGCGGUGCUGGGCAGGGUUUCUCGCUGUUUGGAGCUCACUGCCUGCCUGCUGAUAGACCCAAGGAACUGCACGCUUAGUGGGAGAGGCUGAGAGCUUCUGAGACCCCGUGGAGGGUUUUGGUUUGCUUUGCUUAAGGCUGAAAUUGUGGAGAAACUGAAGUGGAGUGUGUCAGUGUCCCCUGUUUAAAUGGAAUACAGACCCGAGUGUCUUCAAUCCUAAAGAAGCGGUGGUCUGCACAACCACAUGGUGGCUGCUCUGUGAGUUGGGAGCUCCCCCAGAGUUCUGCCAAAAGAAGAGCUUUCAGGAAUGUCUGGGUAGGAAAUAUUUGGAGUCCAGUACCCAGGUCUGGGGCCUCCAGCACAGAGAGAUGUGCAGCAGAGCCAGAGUGAGUUGGAGAGGCAGCUGAACACGGGGCUGGGUGAUGGCUGCCCUCACUGCAUCAGUGUGUCAGCACACAGUGCUGAGGUUUGGGCACAGCAGAUAUGCCAAUGAGUCCUACAGCUCAUUCUCACCUCUUCAUCUGUUUGGAUGUGUAGCUCCAGGUACACAGUUUCUUAAAGUUUUACUGUUAAGACUUUUCCAUUACAGUAUGUAAGUAAUUUUAUUAUAAAAUAAUGGUAAAAUAUUUUACAAAAUGCAA